rnacentral:rRNA from 1 species
UACGGGGGGGCAAGCGUUGUUCGGAAUUACUGGGCGUAAAGGGCGCGUAGGCGGCAAUUCAAGUCACUUGUGAAAUCUCCGAGCUUAACUCGGAACGGUCAAGUGAUACUGCUUUGCUAGAGUGCAGAAGGGGCAACCGGAAUUCUUGGUGUAGCGGUGAAAUGCGUAGAUAUCAAGAGGAACACCGGAGGUGAAGACGGGUUGCUGGGCUGACACUGACGCUGAGGCGCGAAAGCUAGGGUAGCAAACGGG